UCCUGGCUUAGGAUGAACGCUAGCUACAGGCUUAACACAUGCAAGUCGAGGGGUAACGAUUGGCUGAGCUUGCUCAGCCAGAUGACGACCGGCGCACGGGUGAGUAACGCGUAUCCAACCUGCCCAUGGGUCAGGAAUAACCUUCCGAAAGGGAGCCUAAUACCUGAUGCAGUGAGAAGAAGGCCUCUGAUUUUCACGAAAGACUUCGGUCGCCGAUGGAUGGGGAUGCGUACGAUUAGGCAGCAGGCGGGGUAACGGCCCACCUGGCCUACGAUCGUUAGGGGUUCUGAGAGGAAGGUCCCCCACACUGGUACUGAGACACGGACCAGACUCCUACGGGAGGCAGCAGUGAGGAAUAUUGGUCAAUGGGCGCAAGCCUGAACCAGCCAAGUAGCGUGCAAGGACGACUGCCCUAUGGGUUGUAAACUGCUUUUAUGCGGGGAUAAAGUUUGCCACGUGUGGCAAUUUGCAGGUACCGCAUGAAUAAGGACCGGCUAAUUCCGUGCCAGCAGCCGC
rnacentral:rRNA from 1 species